rnacentral:rRNA from 1 species
UUGUUGCCUCUCUCUAUGUUAUUCAUUCACACUUGUGUGUUUUGAUUACAAUCUACAGAGGCUAUUAUAAAACUAGACGGACCGCUGUUUCUUUCUUAAACCAGAGGAAGGUUGCGGCAAUAACAGGUCUGUGAUGCCCUUAGAUGUUCCGGGCUGCACACGUGCUACAAUGAUCAGUACAGUGAGCAUCUCAAUUAUUUAUAAUACACCGUAUCUAAGCGCUUUCUAUCUUAAGACUUUUGUUUUAAGGUUUGAAAUGUGCGCGGUAACGCCUGUUUCGAGAGUGAAUGGGUAACCCAUUAGAAGUACUGAUUUCUCUGUUUUUUAUACUUCGCACAACAAUAUACGGCAUGCUAUCCCGAGGUGACUAGUUUCACCUUUUUGUGCGAUUGUCAUGUUAGAGGCAGUCGGUUCUUAAUCGUUCAGGCUACUCUUAUACCCGUAUGUGCAAUUGUCAAUUCAUGGUGGGGACAGACCAUUGUUAACUGUUGGUCUCGGUCUUAACUAGGAAUGCCUUGUACGGGUCUUGGUUCAACAAACCACCCGGAAUACGUCCCUGCCCUUUGUACACACCGCCCGUCGCUCUUACCGAUGAACUUCUUUGUGAGUCUAAGGGACUGGAAA